rnacentral:rRNA from 1 species
GCCUGACCUGGGGUCGCGGUCGUGAGGCGCACCGCGAGAGUGCGCCCUUUGGGUCUUGUUACGAGUUCCCCGCACGGACGACGCCCCGACAGCACGCGAGUUGAAGAUCAACCACCACUGGUCGCGACGUGCGUCGCCGGGGGAACGCAUUUGGACCGGCCGCGCGCCGAGGCGCACGGGAGGCCAUUCUCCGCCCCCCCACGCCUUUGGAAGGGGGGCCAGAGCCAUGCGUGACGCCCACGGCACGACGCUGCCCUCCGCCUGACCGGCUUCGGGCGCCACUUGCGUUCCAAGACUCUCAUGGUUCACCGGAUUCUGCAAUUCCACCACCCAGUAUUCGCAUUUCGCUACGUUCUUCAUCGAUGCGCAGAGCCGAGAUAUUCGUUGCCGAGAGUUGUUUUGGUAUUACGACAGAGCCUUCUGCCCCCGACGCCAUCCGCGAACGCGGGCGGCGGGGGGCGGACGUUCCUUUUCAGUUUUCCUUGGCGCCUUCCGCGCCCGCAGUUUUGUUAAGCCCGAGCCCGCGCCGCCCAAGCGCCCCAAANGGGGGGG